CCUACGGGUGGCAGCAGUGAGGAAUAUUGGUCAAUGGACGAGAGUCUGAACCAGCCAAGUAGCGUGAAGGAUGACUGCCCUAUGGGUUGUAAACUUCUUUUAUAUGGGAAUAAAACGUUCCACGUGUGGGAUUUUGUAUGUACCAUAUGAAUAAGGAUCGGCUAACUCCGUGCCAGCAGCCGCGGUAAUACGGAGGAUCCGAGCGUUAUCCGGAUUUAUUGGGUUUAAAGGGAGCGUAUGUGGAUUGUUAAGUCAGUUGUGAAAGUUUGCGGCUCAACCGUAAAAUUGCAGUUGAAACUGGCAGUCUUGAGUACAGUAGAGGUGGGCGGAAGUCGUGGUGUAGCGGUGAAAUGCUUAGAUAUCACGAAGAACUCCGAUUGCGAAGGCAGUUCACUGGACUGCAACUGACACUGAGGCUCGAAAGUGUGGGUAUCAAACAGGAUUAGAUACCCUUGUAGUC
rnacentral:rRNA from 1 species